CGCGGAAGUGACGCGAACCCCCAAAAUAUUCCACUUGUUUACAGUUGUCUUCUUCAAUCACCCCUCCCUCGUCGGCCGCGCUGCACGGCACUGCACUGCACGCCCCUCCUUCCUUCCCCUUUCCCUUUCCUUCCCCAGGGUGAGAGUAAACGCUGCACAGAACCUUCGUCUCCUCGCCUUCGAUUCCGCACAAAAAGGAAGCAAAGCACCCGCACGACUAGAUCGCCAGCGCUUCCCCCAUCUCCUGAGCCCCGAUCAAAUCGAUCGCCAGUGCCGGACGCCCCGAUCUCCCUUGUCCCGGACACCGGAGCGGAGAGGACUGAUGGCGGCGUCGUGGGCUGCUCCGCCGUCGGGGUACCCGGUCGGGCACGGGCAGGCGUACGGCAACCAGCAGGCGGCCGCGCCGCAGCCCCAGUCCACGGCCGUGCCGGUGACCGUGGCGAGCAACGGCGUGGGCAACCCCUACGUGAUGGUCACCCCCGCGGCCGCCACCCCGUCCACCUGCCAGAGUACGUCCCUGAAUCCGCCCCUUCUCGUCUUUUGCUCACCAUGAAUUCGGCUUGGCUUACGUGCUCGUUUGCUUGGAUGCAGCCGUCAUGAAGGCGCUGGGCCGGUACGGCAAGCUGCUGGAGGACGGCACCCGCAAGGCUGCCGACGCCACCGGCAACAUCUGGCACCACCGUCCGUUCACCUUCCUCCUCUGCUCCUCCUCUGAUCGAUUCGUCACACGCACACACUGACUGACUGACACGAUGGAUUCCGAUGCGUGACCUGCUGCUUCCUUCCUUGGACAGUGCGGACGGCGCCCAACAUGGCGGACGCGGCGGUGGCGCGGCUGUCGCAGGGGACCAAGGUGUACGCUGAGGGCGGCCACGACCGGGUCUUCUACCAGACGUUCGGCGCCAUGCCCGGGGAGCAGCUCCGCAAGGCCUACGCCUGCUACCUCUCCACCUCCUCGGGCCCCGUCAUCGGCACGCUCUACCUCUCCACGGCGCGCCUCGCCUUCUGCAGUGACAGCCCCGUCUGCUACCAGGGCCCUGCCGGCCAGCCGAUUGAGUGCAUGUAUUACA
rnacentral:lncRNA from 1 species